rnacentral:rRNA from 1 species
CCCUUAGACGUUCUGGGCCGCACGCGCGCUACACUGACCAGUGCAACAAGCAUCCGUCCUUGGCCGACAGGCCCGGGCAAUCUUUGAACGCUGGUCGUGAUGGGGAUAGACUUUUGCAAUUUUUGGUCUUCAACGAGGAAUUCCUAGUAAACGCAAGUCAUCAACUUGCAUUGAUUACGUCCCUGCCCUUUGUACACACCGCCCGUCGCACCUACCGAUUGAAUGGUCCGGUGAAAUCUUCGGAUUGAGACUUUGGUUUCUUCACGGAAAACGCUGUUUUAAAAAGUUGAUUAAACCUUACCAUUUAGAGGAAGGUGAAGUCGUAACA